GACGAACGCUGGCGGCGUGCUUAACACAUGCCAGUCGAACGGAAAGGCCCUGCUUUUGUGGGGUGCUCGAGUGGCGAACGGGUGAGUAACACGUGAGUAACCUGCCCUUGACUUUGGGAUAACUUCAGGAAACUGGGGCUAAUACCGGAUAGGAGCUCCUGCUGCAUGGUGGGGGUUGGAAAGUUUCGGCGGUUGGGGAUGGACUCGCGGCUUAUCAGCUUGUUGGUGGGGUAGUGGCUUACCAAGGCUUUGACGGGUAGCCGGCCUGAGAGGGUGACCGGGCACAUUGGGACUGAGAUAAGGCCCAGCCUCCUACGGGAGGCAGCAGGGGGGAAUAUUGCACAAUGGGCGGAAGCCUGAUGCAGCAACGCCGCGAGCGGGAUGACGGCCUUCGGGUUGUAAACCGCUUUCGCCUGUGACGAAGCGUGAGUGGCGGUAAUGGGUAAAGAAGCACCGGCUAACUACGUG
rnacentral:rRNA from 1 species